GAGGGUAUAGCUCAGUGGUAGACUGCAUGCUUAGCAUGCAUGAAGUCCUGGGUUCAAUCCCCAGUACCCUCU
rnacentral:tRNA from 1 species